UACGUAGGGUGCGAGCGUUAAUCGGAAUUACUGGGCGUAAAGCGUGCGCAGGCGGUUUUGUAAGCCAGAUGUGAAAUCCCCGGGCUUAACCUGGGAAUGGCAUUUGGGACUGCAAGGCUUGAGUUUGGCAGAGGAGACUGGAAUUCCUGGUGUAGCAGUGAAAUGCGUAGAUAUCAGGAGGAACACCGGUGGCGAAGGCGGGUCUCUGGGCAACAACUGACGCUGAGGAGCGAAAGCGUGGGGAGCAAACAGG
rnacentral:rRNA from 1 species